rnacentral:lncRNA from 1 species
CAAAAGCAAGAAAACGUGUUUCAGUACAGAAGCUAACAGGGCAGAAAUAGCUUACAAACAAACUUAAUACCGCCAAGGUUACACAAAAGGUUCGCUUCUGCUUUGAACAACAUUUUCACAUUAAACAUGUUCACAUUAAAAACUGGAUUAGAGAGAAAGAGAGGAAAAGAGGGACACCAUAUAAAACAUAAGAUAAAAGCAUACAUAGGGAGUUUUUUAAAAACCAAAUACCUGAAAAGAAUUACAAAUUUUACAAUUAUUGCUGAACUCAAAUUCAUAGCUGGUAUAGGUCCUUUAUCUAUUUAGGUACAUGCCUUUUCAUUAUCAUUUCUCAUUGAGUUAACUUGCUUAAUGACUGUGACUUUUACUGUGAAAAAGUGAUCCUCAAAGUGUAUUCUCAGACCACUAGCAUCAGCAUCACCAGACAACAAGUUAAAAAUGCAAAUUCCCAGACCUCAUCUCAGACUGAAUCAGAAUCUGGGGAUGGGUUCCAGCAACCUGUGAUUCAGCAAGCAUCAAAUGAUUCCGACAUGCACUAAAGAGUGUUUUAUGCUCAUAAACAAAAAUAUGAAGUUGACAAGUCCCAUGGAUUUUAACAGAGACUCUGUUCUCUAAAUCAAAGUUGUUCAUGCUGUGUUAGCAUUUUUCUUAUUUCUUCAAAAGUUAUGUAACUGUAUCAUAGUCAGAAUUUCAUUCUUUGCAUCAGCAAAUACUUUGGUUUAAAAGCAAGCCUGAAUUUUAAUAUUCAAAAUGAAAUUAAAUGAAAUAGAGAUAUUCCAUACAUCACAAAUAGAAAGCUAGUUCUAUAUUCAUUCAUUCAAUCAGUCAGUCAUUCAACAAAAAUGCCUGUGUUUAUAAUAAGUUCUCACUCUGUGAGCAAUUAAUGUAGGCCAAUGUCAUCAUGCCAGGAGUUUUACAGGCUUAUUACCUCAUUUAAUACCCACAGUAACUGUACAUAGAAGGUACCAUUAUCAAUCCAUUUUAUGAAUGAGAAAACUGAAUAUUAGGGAGAUUGAAUAACUUGCUCAAGUUUGCAGUUAACAGAUGGAAGAGCCCAGACCCUAACCAAGCUCUCUCUCACAGCAAAUUCCAUGUUCUUGACCACCACCAAGACUGCUCGCCAUGUGUUCACCGAGCCUUGUGUAUUGAGACUGACUUGGAACAGAUCUUUCCAAGCCAGUGUAUCAGGCCACUAAAUCUGUCACUAUGGGUUUGCCUAAAUCACUCAGACUAUGUCUAUUUUCACACGAAAUGGCUCUUCUAGUCCUAAUUUAACUUUAGUUUAAAUUAAUAUAAAACAUCAGAAUUUCUGAACUAGAAACAAUGUUAAUAACCAUCUAAAAGGUAGGAGAUGACUCAAAUAAGUGGGGCUCUGGAUUUUACUUCUUUACUUCAGAACAAUCCUACUUUUAUCCAUUUUGUAUAUUGGGAUUCCAGGAGUGAUCUCUUUUGAAGAAAGUUCUGCUGCAUAAAAAUCAAGUGUAAGGAGCAAUGAAUUUUAAUCCAAGCUUCUCAUCUUACAUAUAAGGACACUAAGGCUCUAGGUCACCCUUAAUUUUGACAAGCCCAGUUCUCUGCCUCUGUCUGAUGUUCUUUCUCCUAUAUCACAAUGUACAUGUGCUGUGUUUGUCUUAAAGACCUCAGAGAGCAGAAUCUAUCCAAGUGGUAAAAAUACUGGCAGCCAAGAAUGGGUCUACCUACCACCUGGUAGUUUACAUGCAAAGGGGAAUAAAGGAAGCCAAAUGACUGUAAGUUUCUUGCAUAAUCCACACCAGAAAGCAUUGCCUACAGACUGUAACUGCCCGCUAUUGACUCUGUUGCUUCAUGAUGAAUGCUGGAUGAAACAUCUUCAAAUUCUACCUGAUUUAUGUAUGAUGUCAACAUGACUUAAGGUAAGGGCAAAAUAUGUGUUUUAUUUUCCUUACUUGGAUUCCCAUUAAUAUAUUAAACACUUUCACCAUUAAUAACAGUUCAUUGGCAUUUUAGCAGAUCUACAGAACUGUGAUUCAUGACUACUGUCACUUCAUCUUGAAUUUCAUCAGUUAAAGUAAAUUUGCUUUCAAUUAGUUGUUUUAGUUUUAUAAAUGAUCAAAAAUCAAUUUUGAUUACAAUGACAGUCGUAGGCCACAUAUCACUCUGCGAACCUGCAUAAUAUGCACUAAGCUUUACUCUUCUCAUUCUGUAAUUUAUGCUUUUAUGUAAAAUCAUAGCAUUCUGAGAAGUGCCCAAGAAAUGUGAUAUUACAGGUAAUUCAUAAUGUCUAGAAGUAGGCAUUUAGUAAUCAGAUUUUCCAUUUGGCUGAUGGAUAAUGCAAUUUAAUUUUUCAAGGGAAAAUAAUUCUAAGUAGAGAUGGCAGAUUUAAGCAGAAAUAGAAAUUAUAUUAUUUCCUUAAGAGUAAGUAAGUAUACAUAGAGGGAGGGAAAAGAGAAAACAUGUCUUCAUGGACUAGGAUGUCAUUAUACUCUUGUCAUUAUACUCUUGUCAUUGUCAUUACAAAACAACAGUGCAGGCUCACACCUUCAAUGUUUGGUAGGGCGGCUGUAAGUCACACUUACUUAGUUUUGUUCACUGGAAUCAGAGAUGGUGUCAAAGCAACGUGGCAAGUCAGGUCGAGCCUGCGGGAUGGUAUUUUGAGCCCAUGUGGAAGACUUAAUGAAAUGUGCAGAAUUUUAAUCUUUUGCAAAUUCCAGCGAGAACACUAAACUAAAACACGACUAAUGACAAGUUCAUUACCUCACAUUCGAGGUACAUAAGGCAGAUAAUUUCAUACGGCUUUGCUAAAUGCCUUUAAAUUCCUGGCAAAACAAAAGCACAACCUGCAUGUCAUGCAGUCACUCUACGCAACGCCAAUAAAACUAUAGUCAGUGCUGCCUACCAGGUAGCAAUCUGUCAUUCUUGCUCUAAACCCUAUUGAAAGGCUGUGCAAAGCUUUGUAAUCCUGUAACACGUGGAGGAGGAUGUGCUGGAAACAGAAGGGGCUGGGAAGCUGGUCCAGGGACUGAGUCACACGAGGGCAGUCUGGAAACAAAGUUUGUAUGCACACGGAGGACAGCUUAAGACAUUGGUAGGGAAGGGGGUGGAGCCUUUAACUUCUUAUGUAACUAAGUCAUGGAGCUGCUCCAUUGAAAACAAGAAAAAUACAAUAACCACUAAUAGUCAUUUGUCCUUGAAAACUGUAGCCACUAGUGAGAACAUAGAUUUUUUUAAUUCUAUCUGGUGACCUGCAAUCAAUACAGAUCCUGCUCCUAUCUCAUUCAAGCUGCCCCUUUCCUAUGCUUCAGAUGUCCAUCUCUGGAUCUUUGCAGUCGCUGCUUCCCACUUUAUGGAGCUUCAACAGCAGCAAUGCUGAUUAUUCACACAUGCUCCCCCUGAUACUUAAAAGCCAGGCUCUAGCUUUUAUGUGAUUAUUUGUUGACAGCAGUGUCAACAUGUAUCUCAUUUUGAAAAAAAUCUAAAUCAAGAUCUCUUAAGAAAUAAUUUGAUAUUAUUCAAGACCUUCCUCCCAUCUCUUCUCGGAAUGUGUUAAUAUACAAGAGCAAUACAUGUUUUGCUCUUUAGUAUUUGUUUGGUGUUUCACUUGCCCAUUCACUCCUUCAAGAAACAUUACUGCAUACGCAUUAUACCCUAGGCUCUGUGCUGAACACUGGAGGUAUAAAGAGAGUGAACGAUUCAAACAGCCCCAGAGCAGAGAGAAGUGCAUGACUAAUUAUAAUGUAAUUUAAAGGCCUUACGGGAUCAUCCCCAGCACUGUGAAACUGGAGGAAGAAGCAGCAUUCAAGUGAGUGAAUGUGUAUUUGGACUGAGCAAAGGGAAUAUUCUUCAAGAGAGAUUCAAAAGGCUUCUGAACGAGAUGAGUCAUAAAGGACAGCCAAGGCCUUAUCCAGGUGAGCAAUUUCUAGAAGGUGCAGCAAAACCUGGAGGCAUCAGAGAGCAGAACACAACUGCAGAACAGAGGACCCCAAGUGGCAGAGGCAAAGAAGUGAAAUAAUAAUUCAACUUAAAAAAAAUCUGGCCUAAUGACAACUUCAGUGGAUGGAUCACAUUACCUUGAUGCAUUCUUAUCAAUGCUUACAAAAGUUGUUCAUAUCAAAGGCACCCACCCACUGAUGUGCCAGGUCCAGAAUGCACCGCCUUGUCACUCCUGG